rnacentral:rRNA from 1 species
GACGAACGCUGGCGGCGUGCUUAACACAUGCAAGUCGAACGGACAGGCCCUGCUUUUGUGGGGUGCUCGAGUGGCGAACGGGUGAGUAACACGUGAGUAACCUGUCCUUGACUUUGGGAUAACUUCAGGAAACUGGGGCUAAUACCGGAUAGGAGCUCCUGCUGCAUGGUGGGGGUUGGAAAGUUUCGGCGGUUGGGGAUGGUCUCGAGGGUUAUGAGCUUGUUGGUGGGGUAGGGGAUUACCAAGGCUUCGACGGGUAGCCGGCCUGGGAGGGUGACCGGCAACAUUAGGACUAAGAUACGGUCCAGACUCAUACGGGAGGCAGCAGUGGGGAAUAUUGCACAAUGGCCGGGAGCCAGAUGCAGCAAUGCCGCGUGCUGGAUGACGGCCUUCGAGUUGUAAACCUCUUUCGCCUGUGACGUAGAGUGAGUGACGGUAAUGAGUAAAGAAGCACCGGCUAACUACGUG